GAUGUGGUAGCUCAGUUGGUAUAACGUCGGACUCGUAAUUCAAGGGUUGCAGGUUUGACACUCGCCUAGGUCU